AAGUGCGAGAGUAACUGCUCGCACCUUGACGGUACCUAACCAGAAAGCCACGGCUAACUACGUGCCAGCAGCCGCGGUAAUACGUAGGUGGCAAGCGUUGUCCGGAAUUAUUGGGCGUAAAGCGCGCGCAGGCGGUUUCUUAAGUCUGAUGUGAAAGCCCCCGGCUCAACCGGGGAGGGUCAUUGGAAACUGGGAAACUUGAGUGCAGAAGAGGAGAGUGGAAUUCCACGUGUAGCGGUGAAAUGCGUAGAGAUGUGGAGGAACACCAGUGGCGAAGGCGACUCUCUGGUCUGUAACUGACGCUGAGGCGCGAAAGCGUGGGGAGCGAACAGGAUUAGAUACCCUGGUAGUCCACGCCGUAAACGAUGAGUGCUAAGUGUUAGAGGGUUUCCGCCCUUUAGUGCUGCAGCUAACGCAUUAAGCACUCCGCCUGGGGAGUACGGUCGCAAGACUGAAACUCAAAGGAAUUGACGGGGGCCCGCACAAGCGGUGGAGCAUGUGGUUUAAUUCGAAGCAACGCGAAGAACCUUACCAGGUCUUGACAUCCUUUGCCACUUCUAGAGAUAGAAGGUUCCCCUUCGGGGGACAAAGUGACAGGUGGUGCAUGGUUGUCGUCAGCUCGUGUCGUGAGAUGUUGGGUUAAGUCCCGCAACGAGCGCAACCCUUGAUCUUAGUUGCCAGCAUUCAGUUGGGCACUCUAAGGUGACUGCCGGUGACAAACCGGAGGAAGGUGGGGAUGACGUCAAAUCAUCAUGCCCCUUAUGACCUGGGCUACACACGUGCUACAAUGGAUGGUACAAAGGGCUGCGAGACCGCGAGGUUUAGCCAAUCCCAUAAAACCAUUCUCAGUUCGGAUNGCAGGCUGCAACUCGCCUGCAUGAAGCUGGAAUCGCUAGUAAUCGCGGAUCA
rnacentral:rRNA from 1 species